GGUGUCUCAGUCUGGAGCCCAGGAGAGUCCAAGGAGCUGACUUCACACCACCAUGUCCUAACUCAGCCCUCGGAGGAGGGCGCCUGCCUUUUUCCCCACUGGGGGCAUGCAGCAGGCCCUUGGAGCAAAUUAAAGGGACGCUGAGACCACCCUGCAUACAGAGCUGGUUUCUCCACUACACUAUCUGUGUCAAUUUGGUCAUAUAGGAGCCAUACUUCUGCUUGAAUGCCUCAGGGGAACUAACUGCACAUUCAAGAGAGGCGUCCGUGGAUGCUGGGUCUCACUGCCAAAGCCGAACACGGCUUCGGGAUUUCUGCCUUCUCAAGUGGACCUCUGCUGUGCUGGGCGAAUGCUCUACUCAUUCCCCUACACAACUGUGGGGAUGGUCCAGCUACACAUAGACAGGAAGCCCAGAGAAACGCUCGAUGUGAGGGUCCCCGCAAGCCCGUCGGGCUCUUUCGGCACCUGGCCCCCCCAAAGCUCCUCAACGAGGAGUAGAGACUGCCAAGCCCUUCCACUCAUUCAUCAUCAUAAAAAUGUAACUUGCUAUGGCAGCCUCUUGGCCAUUAAGGGCUAUACUUUG
rnacentral:lncRNA from 10 species